GUGGAUUAGAUACCCUGGUAGUCCACGCCCUAAACGAUGCGAACUGGAUGUUGGGCACACUUAGGUGCUCAGUGUCGAAGCUAACGCGUUAAGUUCGCCGCCUGGGGAGUACGGUCGCAAGACUGAAACUCAAAGGAAUUGACGGGGGCCCGCACAAGCGGUGGAGUAUGUGGUUUAAUUCGAUGCAACGCGAAGAACCUUACCUGGCCUUGACAUGUCCGGAAUCCUGCAGAGAUGCGGGAGUGCCUUCGGGAAUCGGAACACAGGUGCUGCACGGUCGUCGUCAACU
rnacentral:rRNA from 1 species